rnacentral:lncRNA from 1 species
GCGACGGAGUAAGAUGGCGCCAGCUGGCCGCGGGGAGCGGCGGGCUCCAGCGCGCUUCGUCUACGUGACCCGCUUCGGCUCGCACCAGUGUGGCUGCGUGUUGCAGCUAGGUGGCCCUCGAGCUUCCGGCCGCGGAUGGUCAAGGCCCGAGACCCGCGGCGGCCCAAAAGAGCCGCGGGAGGCGGCGGCGGGGUCCCUGAACGGCGGCGAGCUGCCCGCGGGUCCCGGGCGCAGGGUCCCCGCGGGCCGGGCCGGCAGCUCCCGGCUACGGGCGUCGAAUGCGCCAGGCCGCCCCGGCCCUGCAGGUGUCAUUCAGAAGGAUGCAGCUAAAAAGUUUGAUUUUCCUAUACAAGUGAAUGAAGCCUCCAAAAUAAUGAAAAAAAUGAAAAAGGUAUAUUAUUGUAAAGGAGAGUGAGCAAUACUUUGAACUUUAGAUUAAA